rnacentral:rRNA from 1 species
AUUGAACGCUAACGGCAUGCUUAACACAUGCAAGUCGAACGGCAGCACAGUAGUAGCAAUACUAUGGGUGGCGAGUGGCGGACGGGUGAGUAAUACAUAGGAAUCUGCCUUAUAGUGGUGGAUAACCCGGGGAAACUCGGGCUAAUACCGCAUAAUCUCUACGGAGCAAAGUGUGGGACCUUCGGGCCAUACGCUAAAAGAUGAGCCUAUGUCGGAUUAGCUAGUUGGUGGGGUAAAGGCCUACCAAGGCAACGGUCCGUAGCUGGGCUGAGAGGAUGAUCAGCCACACUGGGACUGAGACACGGCCCAGACUCCUACGGGAGGCAGCAGUGGGGAAUAUUGGACAAUGGGCGAAAGCCUGAUCCAGCAAUGCCGUGUGUGUGAAGAAGGCCUUCGGGUUGUAAAGCACUUUUAGUUGGGAAGAAAAGUUCAUGGCUAAUAUCCAUGAAUGCUGACGUUACCAACAGAAAAAGCACUGGCUAACUCUGUGCCAGCAGCCGCCGCAG